rnacentral:rRNA from 1 species
AAUGAACGCUGGCGGCGCGCCUAAUACAUGCAAGUCGAGCGAGAAGACGUAGCAAUACGUUUGUAAAGCGGCGAACGGGUGAGGAAUACAUGGGUAACCUACCCUCGAGUGGGGAAUAACUAGCCGAAAGGUUAGCUAAUACCGCGUACGCUCCUUGGACUUCGGUUCAGGGAGGAAAGCGAUACCGUGGGUAUCGCGCUCUUGGUUGGGCUCAUGUCCUAUCAGCUUGUUGGGAGGUAACGGCUCACCAAGGCUUCGACGGGUAGCUGGUCUGAGAGGACGAUCAGCCACACUGGCACUGCGACACGGGCCAGACUCCUACGGGAGGCAGCAGUAAGGAAUAUUGCGCAAUGGGCGAAAGCCUGACGCAGCGACGCCGCGUGGGGGAUGAAAGUC